rnacentral:lncRNA from 1 species
CAAGCUCCUUCUGCCACUUGACCCCCGCCUCCCCACACAUCAAGCCCCACCCUCCCUCCACCUCCCCUAGUCCCUUAGCCUCCUAAGCUUCACCUUCUCCCGAGGAUAAAAUGCCAUGGGGGUCGGGGAAACCUGAGCAGGACCUGUUCGCGGGCUCUUGGUAGAGAACUGACGCCCGACGGCCUGGCUACCCAGGCCUGAGGGCAGAAGGACCCUGAUGGGGCUGACUUGUGAACCAAUGCCUACCAGGCCAAGCGGCCCUCCCCGAGACCCACCUGUGUGAGCCCUGCCAUUCCAAAACGUCGCAGCCCUGGCACAAAGGAGUGCUCAGGCUCCCAAGCAGAGAUGCCCCCAGCGGCCUCUUCCGGACCCUGGUGACUCCUGGCACGACCCCGCUGUACAGAAGGGGCCAAUGACAUCUGGACCCGCUUGGGACCUGCCUGCCUCUGACCCAGCCGCCUUUGGCCCCUGAAGCAUGCACGCAACCUCAGGAGAAGCAAGGUUGCUGCCUGGGAAGGGGUAUGGUACAGACAAGCCAGGGCCAGGAGGAGUCUGAAGCUACAUACCAAGAGGAAUCUGCAAGCCCAGUGGUGGCAUCUCUGCAAGGCUGUCUGUGUUCACAGUGAAGCAGAGCCUGAACAGAGUCAAGAACGGCCUAGCUACCCUUGCAGGGUUGGCCCAGAGUGGCCAAGUUGGUGAGGGGCCCUGCGAAGGUGCCUGGCUGUUCUGCGGGCUGGACUAUUGCUGGUGAUGAGGAUAUUGGCAUACGGAUGCUGCCUGCCGCUGCCGCUGCCGCUGCCGCUGCCGCUGCUAUUGUUGCUAUGGAUGACAGUGAUGAUGGCGGUGGUGGCGGUGGUGGCGGUGGCGGUGGUGGUGGGAAGAAGAGAAGAGGAGGAGGAGGAGGAGAGGGUGAAAGGAUGGUGUCUCCACCUGCACCCCACCCCUCCUCUGUCAGGCUGCCAAAGGAAGGAGAGGAAGGCUUGGUGGGGGCAGGGGAAGGGGUGACUGCCAUUUCUGGAGCCACAGUGCCAUCCAGCGGAAAGUGUAUGGGAAAAGGCCAGGCAGCAGCCUGGCUUCUGCCAGGCACAGAGAGCAGCAAGGCUGUGCUGGGCUGACCGGGCUGUGCUCAAGCCCCAGGUUCCCCCUGCAGGGGAGCUGGGCACCGAGGCCGGUCGGUCGGGGCCGUCGGAGGCCCUGAGGGCCUUGGCCUGCCAGCAGGACCCGCUGGGGGAGGCAGGAGCUCCAGGAGCCCUGGACACAAGCCGGCAGCCCCUAGGCAGAGCAGCCCAGACAGCUGAGCUUCCCGUUUGUCAGCCAUUUUGGGGUGGGCCCAGAGGAAUUCCACCCCGUUUCCUCUGGUGUCCCUGCUGCGGAGCGGAGUAGCGUAGCGGGGCGCCCUGCCUCGGGGCACACCGGCGUCAGGGGUCCCCUUUCCCCACCUGGAGCCCAGGCCCUUAGGAGUUCUGGGACCAGGGCCAUUUGCCCGCCCCUGGCACUGCUCCCCGCGGUAGCCAUCUUGGGCGGCCUCUGGGGUUUCUGAGGGCCUUCUCCAGCUGUGGGCCUCGGGCCCACUCUCCCGUGGGGCACACAGGCGGAGGGACAGCCAGGGGCCCUUCGCCCCUGUGCACCCGCUGCACCCUCCGGACCACCCCGCCCGCACUGGGCACAGCACAGCCCCCCCCCUCUGUCUCUGUCUCUGUCUCUGUCUCUCUCUCUCUCUCUCCCCCUCCCGGAGGGCCUCUGCCUUGGGCCCUGCUAACCGGCUCUGACAGAAACUAUCUCCGCUUGAUGGCAGUAUGGCUCCACCAAUGCCAACCAAUGCUUACCCCCCUCCCCCUCCAACACCCGCCCCCAGGGCCUGGAGCCUCCUGCCCUACCAGGGUGAAAGCAAAAGCAAAACGCAACUGACACAGACAGUCCCAGGAAGAAGCACAGAAAAGGAAAGGAACCAGCCACCUGGACCCAUGCCGCUCACCAAAUGCACUGGGCAGAACGACUGCUGACCAGGAGGCGGGACCCCCUGCAGGCCUUUCCCCUUCUUUGCUCCAACCCCAUUUUUCCUAGCUCCAGCUCUGGAGAGAAGCAAAAGGCCAAGGACACACCCACAGGCCUGGG